CUGCUUUUUGUUUUUAGAAUUCAGUUCUAUUUUUAUUUGGUAAGUCUCAUCCCCUCUUAUCAUUUAGAUACUCUACUUAGUACAAUAAUUUUGAAUGCUUUUCUUUUUUGGUUGCAGCUUCUUCUGUUUUUACUGUUUUGUUUUGCUGUGGGGUCAAGUCUUGUAAAGGUCCCACAUUUAAGGAAUGCAUUUCCAAUUCUACUUGAUUAGGUUUAUCCAAUCAAACCUACUUGGCAUAACCCACAGAGUGAAACUGAUAUUUUGAUAUUUAUUACUAGAGGUAUGUUUUCUUACUUUAAACCUGACACUUAACUUGUCAAGUAAUUUUAGAUUCAUUCCUUUUAUCCAUGUAUGUUUAUUGCCUCAGGCAGACCUCUAUCCUGGUUACAUCAAAAGAGAUUCAAAAAAGGGACCUAAAUAUAGCUUAUGGACAUUUUAGAUAGAUGUAUCAAUGUAGUUGACAUCCUACCUUCUACUUUCGUAUUAAUAAGGAAAUGUCUUUAUUUGUACUCAGCAAGAAAAUAUGCAUUGAAUUUUGAAAAGUUCUAUUUCAAUGAUAAAUUUUUAAUCACAUAUGAAUAAGGAAAUGAAUUAACCAUCAAGACAGCUACCAACUCAAUAGACUAUACAUCUUACAGUAAGUUACUUUGCUUUAUUUUAUUUUUUUACAUCCUGUGCCCUUGACGAACUUUAACUUGAAGGUUUGAAUUCUAUCUCCACAGCGUAUAAGGACUCCUGCACUAGUCCCCAUGUCAUAUGGUAGGCGGUUGAGGGGGACCCACUUUCCUCUCUGGUUCUUCAAGUGGAAUUGAACCUCUCCCAUCCAGGGGGAAGAAAAUACACAUCUUACAGUAAGUAACACUCAAAAGAACUGACAUAUUUUUUUAUUACAGCCAGUUCAGUUGAGAGCUCCAUACCUAAAGAUUUUAAUUCUCUCUCCACAGUCUUGGUAGCUUUGAGGGACUUUCUACCUGUCUCCAGUGGUCUGAUGAUGUCGCCUGAAUGGUCCUAGUUUCCUCUCUGGCUGUCGAGGUGGAAGCGAUCCUUUAGCAUCCAGGGGGAAGAGAGUACUCAUCUUACAUCUUGGUAGCUUCGAGGGACUUUCUACCUGUCUCCAGUGGUCUGAUGGUGUCGCCUGAAUGGUCCUAGUUUCCUCUCUCGCUGUCGAAGUGGAAGCGAUCCUUUAGCAUCCAGGGGGAAGAGAGUACUCAUCUUACGGUAAGUAACACUCAAAAGAACUGACCUAUUUUUUUAUACAGCCAGUUCAGUUGAGAGCUCCAUACCUAAAGAUUUUAAUUCUCUCUCCACAGUCUUGGUAGCUUUGAGGGACUUUCUUCCUGUCUCCAGUGGUCUGAUGAUUUCGCCUCAAUGGUCCUAGUUUCCUCUCUGGCUGUCGAGGUGGAAGCGAUCCUUUAGCAUCCAGGGGGAAGAGAGUACUCAUCUUAUGCCUUGGUAGCUCCUCUCCUGGGUCCAGUCCGCAAUUCGUCGGGUUGUUGUUCUCUAAAGGGCCCCUAUCUCCUCUGUUUCUCACUGAUGAAAUCUAGUUGUUAGG